rnacentral:rRNA from 1 species
UACAGAGGGUGCGAGCGUUAAUCGGAAUUACUGGGCGUAAAGCGCGCGUAGGCGGCUUUGCUAGUCGGGUGUGAAAUCCCCAGGCUUAACCUGGGAACUGCAUUCGAGACUGCAUUGCUAGAGUAUGGGAGAGGGAAGUGGAAUUUCCGGUGUAGCGGUGAAAUGCGUAGAUAUCGGAAGGAACAUCAGUGGCGAAAGCGACUCCCUGGACCAAUACUGACGCUAAUGUGCGAAAGCGUGGGGAGCAAACAGG